rnacentral:misc_RNA from 1 species
UAUUGAGAAUAGCCCAGAGAGU